UCGUGUUGUUUCUUCUUUAGUUUUCUAUGUUGUGUCAUGUGUGCUAUUGUUUGUCUGUUUGUCUUUUUCAUUUUUAGCCAUAGCGUUGUCAGUUUAUUUUCGAUUUAUGAGUUUGAUUGUCCCUCUGGUAUCUUUCGUCCCUCUUUUAGCAAUGUGUUAAAAUCUGCUUUGUUAUUAAUUGCCGAAUAAAAAUUAAUAUUACUAUAUAGAGUACUUCGUUAUAUUCUUAGGGUGUAUUGAGUUAAUCAUGAAAUCAUAAGGAAAAAGGUUCCAUCUUAGUGCAAGAAGCAGUUCUUCCUCCAAUCAGUUAC
rnacentral:lncRNA from 1 species